UCCAUCUUCUAUAUCUACAUUUUUGCAGCAGUUUAUGGAAAAAAUCCUAGAGUUUCAAAUUAUUUACAGGAAUGCCAUUGUCAUAUUUAAGGAAACAAUUACAAACGGGUUGUUUUUAAUGAGGAUCCGUGUUUUUUUUUUUCUGGAUCUUUUAUAAAUGUAUUCGGAUUGCUCCAUACUAAUUGAGUAAUUGAGAAAAACGAAACCCUUUUGCAAAUAAUUAGAACCCUAAAAGUUGUUGCGACUCAAUUCUACGGAUCAGACAGAGGAGGCGGCAGUGAAGAAUCUCUUUUAUCGCGUUUUUAUUGAAAUUAAGAUCAACUCUCGACUGAUGAAACUAAUCUCCAUUCUAAAGGAUACUACGGCUGCUUUGUGGGUCAUAUGGUUCCGACAUUCGAAAUUCUUCAGUGUCUUAUAAGAAUAUUGAUUAAACUUAUCGGCUUUUUGGUACGGCUUGGAUAGAGGAACAACCAUGACACUAGCCUUGAUUUCUUUAUUGUGUCCCCCUGGUAAACUCAUCUUAAAUCCGUAAAUUAAUAAUCCUUUUGUUAUCAAUUUAUUUUCUACAUUUGAUGUAUAUAAAUACGUAUUUGUGAAAAUGUUGAAACUGAAGCUUCUGUAUUCACCCGCGGUGUUUAGUUUGUUAGUUCUUUUGUUUAUGGCAGAUUCAGAAGAAUUUGUUCUCAGCUUCAUUACUUUACUGAUUAGAGUUGGAGGUAAAAGAAAAGGAGAAAGGUUAUAGUUUAGUUUUUUUUUCAGUUUUGUAUUGUCCAUUUUGAAAUAGUAGUUCAUAUCCUCUUUGACAUACAAGAAAAGGAAAAUAAAAAUAAUGAUUGGGGUUUCUGUGUUAUUCUGUGAUGACCUGCAACAAUUACUCACUCUUUCUACUUUUGACCUCUCGAAUUAGUUUUGUAGAAAAACAGAUAUAAUCAUAUCCUAAUUGUGCCAGUAGGUUGUGUCGUUAGUGAGGGCUUUCAAAUAUCAUCUAUUUCUAUGGCUAACAUGUGUUCUAAAUAGACAGAAUCAAACCUGGAAAUCUGUUAAUUGGUGCUCAAAAGUUUUAUCCAUCUUUUAGCAUCGACAUCUUUCCAUUUGAUUUUGAGAGAUUGAGUUGGUCAUAGUAUAUAGAAACACAACUUUGCGUCUUCACAACUUUCAUUUAGCUGCAUUUUCCCAAUAAGGAGUGAGACCAUAUGUGAUGACGAAGGGAUAGAAGAAUCAGUAAGAGACAUAUCAAAUCGAUGAGAUUAAGAAGAAAUAGAGAAUAAGGAAUAUAUUUUCUUAGUCCCAAUUUUUUUUUAUGGUUAUGCUUAAGAAUUGGUAAAUUAAUAACUCUAUAAAUGAACUUUAUACAGUAUGCACUUUUUAAAAAAUGAUGAAUAUGUUUU